UGCAUUUUGGAGAUUAACCACUCAACUAUCCAAUGUCAUGUUGAUGGUGAGACCCGAGCUUUUUUUGAAAUCCUGAAUGACUUUGAUGGCGAGUGAGAUGGAAAUACCAGUUUUUCUUCUAUUCCUGUUAGAAAUAAGACCUUCAAAGCUGGACUUGGAGUUGAUAAUCUCGUUAAACCCAUUCAUUGCAAUUUAAAAGUGGGAUGGCGACAGCAAAACUCCUUACCGGGCUCCAUGCUGAAUUCAAAACUUUGAUUAAGCACCGGGUAUGUCAAUGCUUGAUGAUGAGUUCCUAAGAAUGACCAAGAUCAUGUCAACAAACCCAUAUAGUUUUAUAGCUGUUCGACAAUGAACUUGUGAGACAGUAUGGAAUGCCUUUUCGAAGUGGACAAAAAUUGUAGAGUACUUGGAAGAUCCUCAUAAGUAUAUACCAUCUUGUAUAGAAAGUUGUAUAUCCUCUAGCAGAUGUGAUCCCAUAAAUCCUUUCUGAUCCGUUGAUAUAAUGUAUGGGAGAAUCCGGGAAAGUCUGCGAUUCAACAUACCGCUGAGUAUUUUAUAUGAGGACUAAAGUUAGGGAUCAAGUGCUCAUGAAGUCAGGAAUAAAGCUCUUCAUAACUAUUUCCUUCGACACUUCUUCAAGGACUGGAGAAAGGAAGUUUUAAAAACUUUUUGAAAAAAUCAAAAGGCAACCCUGACGGUCCUGGAUAUUUAAUUUUUUUGUCAUAACCUUGGUUGAACUUUAUAAUUCCUUUUUCAGGGAUAAGCUCCCAAUUUUUAAACAAUAGAGAUUUCCAUUUUGUUGGAUCUUUCAAUAUCCUCCAAUUCAAACAGAAGUCGCAUGGUCUAUUUGAUGCAGACCAAACAAUUAUAUAAUUUGGAAUGAAAUCUGUAUGUUUCUGUAGAUAUUUUCUCCGGAUCUUCCGUUAUUUUGCACACAGCACUAGAGGGAACUAGAGUACAAUAAUUUGAGAGCAGUUGAUAUAAAGCAUUUCAAAUAUGCACAAGACAUUUUCGUAUGCGCUAUAAUGGUGAUUUAUUGAUUUAACGCUAUCCUGUAUGGAAGUAUGUAUACGU
rnacentral:lncRNA from 1 species